UUUCAUUCGUCGUUGGGAGCUGCCACGUGCCGUAAGUGUCAAUGAGAUAUUGAGGCAAAUAUAUAACACAAUGGGGAGUACCAAUUUAAAUGAACACGAAAUCCUGGCCGCUCUUAUGCAAAGUGAUGAUGCUUCCGUGUGAGGACACCGACAGUAAAGUAGCGGACCACGACAGUGAAGAUGAAGUGCAGAGUAACACAGAAGAAGGGUUUGUAGACGAGAUACAAGAAGAACAGCCGACACCAAGCGGAAGUAAUAUCUUAGAAGAGCAAAGCAGUACUGCGCAACCAGUCUCCACAUCGGCCUUUCGUAGGAUCGUAGCCUUGCAACAGAGGACAAUUGGUUUACCUCAAUCCCUUUGGCAACAAGCUUGCUCCAAGAAUCUUAUAAGUUAACCAUUGUGGGAACCAUACGAUCAAACACCGUGAGAUACCGGAAGAGCUAAAAAACAGUCCCUCCAGGCUAGUGGGGACAUCGAUGUUUUGUUUUGACGGACCCCUUACUCUCGUCUCCUACAAACCGAAACCGGCAAAAAUGGUUUAUUUGUUAUCAUCUUGUGAGGAGAAUGCUA